GACGAACGCUGGCGGCGUGCCUAACACAUGCAAGUCGAGCGAGAUCCAUCCGGUAGCAAUACCGGUGAAGAUCGAGCGGCGAACGGGUGAGUAACACGUGAGGAACCUGCCCCGAAGACCGGGAUAACCCGAGGAAACUCGGGCUAAUACCGGAUGUCCCCAUCGGACCGCAUGGUCUGAUGAGGAAAUGUCUUUUCGCUUCGGGAGGGCCUCGCGGCCUAUCAGCUUGUUGGCGGGGUAACGGCCCACCAAGGCAUCGACGGGUAGCUGGUCUGAGAGGACGAUCAGCCACACGUGGACUGAGACACGGCCCCAGACUCCUACGGGAGGCAGCAGUGGGGAAUCUUGCGCAAUGGGCGAAAGCCUGACGCAGCAACGCCGCGUGGGGGAUGAAGGCUCUCGGGUUGUAAACCCCUUUCAGGAGGGACGAAAAUGACGGUACCUCCAGAAGAGGCCCCGGCCAACUACGUG
rnacentral:rRNA from 1 species